rnacentral:rRNA from 1 species
AUUGAACGCUGGCGGCAGGCCUAACACAUGCAAGUCGAGCGGAUGAAGGGAGCUUGCUCCUGGAUUCAGCGGCGGACGGGUGAGUAAUGCCUAGGAAUCUGCCUGGUAGUGGGGGAUAACGUCCGGAAACGGGCGCUAAUACCGCAUACGUCCUGAGGGAGAAAGUGGGGGAUCUUCGGACCUCACGCUAUCAGAUGAGCCUAGGUCGGAUUAGCUAGUUGGUGGGGUAAAGGCCUACCAAGGCGACGAUCCGUAGCUGGUCUGAGAGGAUGAUCAGUCACACGGGAACUGAGACACGGUCCAGACUCCUACGGAGGCAGCAGUGGGGAAUAUUGGACAAUGGGCGAAAGCCUGAUCCAGCCAUGCCGCGUGUGUGAAGAAGGUCUUCGGAUUGUAAAGCACUUUAAGUUGGGAGGAAGGGCAGUAAGUUAAUACCUUGCUGUUUUGACGUUACCAACAGAAUAAGCACCGGCUAACUUCGUG